CAAAAUAUAGUUUAUGAAUAUAAAAUAAUAAUUUUGGAGAUUAUAGAAAUUUUAUUAAUUUUUUUGA
rnacentral:tRNA from 1 species